rnacentral:rRNA from 1 species
UGAGGAAUAUUGGUCAAUGGGCGCAAGCCUGAACCAGCCAUCCCGCGUGAAGGAAGAAUGCGCUACGCGUUGUAAACUUCUUUUCCAGGGGGAGAAUAAUCCUGUCGUGACAGGACUUGACGGUACUCUGGGAAUAAGCAUCGGCUAACUCCGUGCCAGCAGCCGCGGUAAUACGGAGGAUGCGAGCGUUAUCCGGAUUUAUUGGGUUUAAAGGGUGCGUAGGCGGAUUGAUAAGUCAGUGGUGAAAUUCUACAGCUUAACUGUAGACUUGCCGUUGAUACUGUUAGUCUUGAGUGUGGUCAAGGCAGGCGGAAUGUGUAAUGUAGCGGUGAAAUGCUUAGAUAUUACACAGAACACCGAUUGCGAAGGCAGCUUGCUGGGUCAUUACUGACGCUGAUGCAC